ensembl:lncRNA
GGCUGUUGUAUGUUUGUUUAUUCUGGGAUCAGGACCGUGAGGCCUGUAGCACAACCAGACUGAAGCCCAGCAUGAAAUUGGAGGUUUCCUGGAGAUCCUGGCCUGCUGCAGGGACCUCACAAAUAACUGUAUGACUGGUCUUGUCUUCUGGGAGCAUCUUGAAGGGGAAACAUGGAGUCAAUCAGCACGCCUAUGCAAUGUGCAGGAAGAGAGAUUAGCCCUGGUGUGAACUGACCAGAGAGGUGCGCAUGGGAGACAUGGGGUUGAAAUCCCAAGAUGACUGCAGCCUCCUCUCCAAACACGUAGGCACAGUUUUGCAAUGCCUACCCUAACGUACAGAAAGGAUGUACCUUUGCUCUGUCAGUGUACAUAUUAGGUGGAAAUAUCCCCCUUGUACCCAAUGCUGUAAUGAAAAGUGAUGUCUGCUUCUUAAUACUACAUGAGCUAAGGAGUUUUAUUUGGGCUGGGGUUUGUCCAGUGACAUAAUGGCACUUUGCAUAGCAGAUGUUUCAGAAGCAGUGUCCUCUUUUUUUGUAAGGUUUGCUUCUUUUAGGGCAACAGAACCCUCCUUUGUUUGCAGAGAUGAGGGAUUUUCGCUCUUUGCAAGAGUUGCAAAGCAUUUACUAAGAAUGCAGUUUCCAGUGUAGGCAGGGAUUCAGCAAAAAAGAACUGAAUUGAGAUGUUUCAGGGAAAAAAAAAAAACUAGCUUGGAAGCAGCUCAGUUCUUUGCAUUGAACUGUUGAAGUUCAAGUUACAAGUUUCUAAUCAAAAGCUGAUACCAGAUGGAAGUGAAAUGUGAGGAGUAAUACAAAAAGUAUGUUGCAGAGAAGAUCACACAGAAAGAUGAACGUGUUCUCUAAUGACUGCUGAGUUUUUUCAGAGACAGCUUUAUAGGAGCAUAACUCUGGUUACGCCUCACAUUUAUUUUGUCUCUAGAUGCAUGUGUGAGACAAAAUAGUGCCCUGUGGAGUUGGGAGUGUGCAUUGCAACAUGGCUCAUGUCAGCAUUGAGCUCAGGUCUUGUGUGUUACUGAAUUAUAUAUAGUUAACUAACAGACUUUCUGUGAGCUCUGACGACUUCCUAGCUGAAAGACAAGAAUUGAAAAGAAGUGUCUCCUCUACCAGAGAAAUUCUGUUGUAAUUUCUUUGACUUGAAAGCAGUAGGAUGACUUCUGCGCCCUUGUGUGCAAGAGCAAGAGUUAGGGUAUCCAGCAGCUCAAGGAGAAGGAAAAAUAAAUAAUAAAAUCACUCUGACAAGGAAGAUGUGUCCUUAUUCAGAGAACAGGAAUACCAUUCUUUCCUUCUUUGGGGAACACAUGAGCAGAAAAAAUGAACCGAGAGACAAUGACAUGAGUAUUGUCAAAGUAUUCUAAAAAAUAGCUGAGAUUUGUGCAGAUGCCAAGUCUAACUUUGGCUGAUUCUCUUUUAGGAAUUUUGUAGAGCAAUCUUCUGAAUUCUAUUAAUAUAGCGUGCAAAUAUACUUCAGACAACGUGGGUCUGCAUUGUGGGAGUAAAGUGUUGGUGAUUUUCAAAGGCCAAGAAGAUGUAUGUUUUUGAAAUAUAAACGUCAAUGAUAUAUGUAAAUUGAAGAUGAUGAAAUGUUAAAGCAAGGGAGAGUGAGAAGAGUAGUAUAUACAUCAUAUGUCCAAACACAUGUCAAAUAUAAGAUUAACACAAUAAUCAAUAUUGGUACUUACUUCAACUGCAUUCCACAGUAGUGAACAUCAAGUACCUUUGCUUCCUUCAGGUCCAGCAAUCAGGAUUCUGCAUUUUAGAGUUCUAACAGUUUGUAUCAGAACAGCACGCAGCAUGACCUGUGCUGCAAUGUGAAUGGCACUCACCAUUAUUUAAAAUAGAAGAAGGUUGCCCUGUCAAUUAAACACCAUCAUUUGUUGAUACAAUACGUUGACAUUCCUCACAUACCAACUGAUAUGGCUCAAGGUGGUUAAUAGCAGAGAUACCAAAGGUAUGACAGGAUAUAAGGCCUGUAGUAUAUACUAUACAUGAUGAUGGAUGAUUGUAAUGAUGUAUUGCAUGGCAAGAAACAUCGUGAGAGGUUAUGGGGAUUCUUAGUUGGUUACCUUCAGCAAUAUUUUGCCUCUUGUAAGAGUAGGUUUGUGUCAUGCAACUGAACAUACAUUGCUGUGUCCUUCUCUGUAAUUCCUAAUGACCUGUUUCCACUGUUGAAGUGCAUUUGUCUUUCCCAGACUCCCAAUAGAACUGGUGUAUCCUCAAGCUCCAUUUCAAUUAUGAAUGAAUAGAACUUUUGGUUAUAGCGC